CCCUGAGCCUUGUUGUGGGUGUGGUCAUCUUUGGAGCUGUGGUCACUGGAGCUGUGGUCACUGGAGCUGUGGCUGGAGCUGUGAUGAGGAGGAAGCGCUCAGGUGGAAAAGGAGGGAGCUAUACUUAGGCUGCCAGCAGCUACAGUACCCAGAGCUCUGAUCAAUCUCUCUUGGCUUUUAAAGGUAAAACCCCGAUGUAACGAGGGGACAGGUCUGGGUGAUGGGGAUUCUUUGGGGCAUAGUGAGCCUGCAUAGGUUGUUGAGAAUGUCACCACUUACAGCC